CACCUUUAUUUAACCAGAUAGGCUAGUUGAGAACACCUUUAUUUAACCAGAUAGGCUAGUUGAGAACACCUUUAUUUAACCAGAUAGGCUAGUUGAGAACACCUUUAUUUAACCAGAUAGGCUAGUUGAGAACACCUUUAUUUAACCAGAUAGGCUAGUUGAGAACACCUUUAUUUAACCAGGUAGGCUAGUUGAGAACACCUUUAUUUAACCAGAUAGGCUAGUUGAGAACACCUUUAUUUAACCAGAUAGGCUAGUUGAGAACACCUUUAUUUAACCAGAUAGGCUAGUUGAGAACACCUUUAUUUAACCAGAUAGGCUAGUUGAGAACACCUUUAUUUAACCAGAUAGGCUAGUUG